rnacentral:rRNA from 1 species
CCAAUAGCGUAUAUUAAAGUUGUUGCAGUUAAAAAGCUCGUAGUUGAAUUUCGGGAUCAAUAUAUCGGUCGUGCCUUGGUACGUACUGGUAUCAUUGGUUUCUCCUUUCUGACGAACCAUGAUGUCAUUAAUUUGGUGUUAUGGGAAGUUAGGACUGUUACUUUGAAAAAAUUAGAGUGUUUAAAGCAGGCUUUAGCUUGAAUACAUUAG